GACAUCAGUUUGCUCUGUAGCUCCUGCUUGCCACUGACAGAGAAUGCCCCACCUCUGCGGUAGCAACAUUUCUGCUGCUCUCAGCGUAAUAGGAGAGCUCACAGGAAUGUAAGCAUUGGACAAGUAGAAAUGUCAGAAUGCUACUCUGUGACAAAACCUUUCAUCCCUACGCUUCUGAUAGGAUGUGACUAGACCCUGGAGAUGGAGGAGUACUGGUGACAGAUGUGCUGUGAAGUAGCUUCCUACCGAGUGGUACCCUUGGAAGUUCCUAGAAUGAGUUAACUGAACACGAGAGGCAAACAAACCCCAUAAUCUAUGAUCACAAAAUGGGCAGAUUUCAGAUGCACACCACAGGUGCACCAUUACUGAGACUCCUGUCUGCAGCGCUAACAGCAGUGGAAGAGAUCUGGGCAGCAUGUUCAGGCCAACAAGAUGACAUUCAAGAUGCCCUUUCCAUAAUUCAGCAAAGCAGCUGAGGGGCUCCUGUUACAGAGCAGGUGAGUGGGGUGUGCAGGCUGGGAGACCACUGGAUCAAAAAAGUAAUGGAAAUAGCAAGUAGCAGGAAUCAGGGAGGAGGAAGGAAGGGGAAGGAAAGGAAAGGAGAGAGGGAGCGUGAUAUUACUCCCUGCAGGCAACAUAGAAUGAGCUGCACUUUUGAUAUCAAAGGUCCCCAUGGCACAACUUUCUGUCUUUGAAAGUGAUGCUCAGGAAGGAGAGACAGGUUGCCUAAGGCAAUGUAGAGUGACAUUUCAUCAAAACUCACCCAGUUGCUGGCAAUAUGUAUUUAUGGAACCCCUGAGCAGGACACGAUGUCUGGGUAUUCAGUAGCUCAUGAUGAAUUUCAACAGAUUAAUUGGUCCAAAUAUUUUAUGGCAUAUUGCUGUGAUGCACUACUGAAGAUAACUCAGAGAAAAGCAGACAAGCAAAUGUAGUUUUCUUCACUUUGUUACUAUCUCUGACUGAAUGCUACAAAUAAAUAUAUUCUAUAUUCUUCACACUUCUAAUUUUCAUACAAAGUCACACAUUUGAGGAAGCAAAAAUACUUAUUAAACUACAGAGAAUAUCUACAAGAUGUCUCAACAGAGUGUUCUACAGUUAAUUUACAUUCAUAGUAAGCCUACAGUUUGCCUCUUAGUAACCUGAUGUAUUUUAUCCACAGUCCUGUCUUGAAACUUAGAAGUACAGUUUUAUAUUUGAGGGAAAUCAGAGAAAGAAAGGACCUCUUUUUGUACACACUUUUCUUGGUUGCAUGCCAGAUCAAUCAGUAAAUGCAAGGAGAAUUCAGCUGUUGAAUUAAUUUUUUUUUCCUCAUGUUGUCAAGAAGUUUAUUCCCCUAAUACGGAACAGCGCGUACUUGCUCAGGAAGUACACGUCCCUCUAGUCCAGGAGUUCACGGAUCACAGGUCCUCUGCUGUUGGGCAGCGGUUCUGUUGGAACAUAUGCACUGUAUCUAUUUUAAACUUUCUUGCAGAGAUGGUCCUUUAUGGCCAUUUAGGAGCAGUGUUUUCUCCCUGGUCAGUUAGUGCUUGUCAGCUGGCAGGCAGCACAACUCCAUAAAUAGUGUGUCAAUGCAAAAGGCUAUUAUUCUGCAGUGAUGGCAGUAGGAACAAGGAAGGAAUCCUUGGUGUCCCUCUCCUUGGUAUGCUACUUGGGCUCUGAUAAUUUGUCAUCAUUUAUGGCCUCCCCAGCUGAACUGUACUGUUAGUUCAGCAGAAAACAAACUGUGAGAAUGCCUGGUUUUGUUUUCUUUUCAGUAUAUGAUGUAUCUAGUUUAGACUAGUACUCUGAUAUAUAGCACUGUUAGGGAUGUUUUUACAAUUUGAAUAGUUCUGAAAAAAUAGUUUCCUAAUAGGUCCAUAAAAAUAAUUGGAGUUCUCAUUUUCAACAGGUGCUUACAGUCUCUCUUAAAUUAAAGGCAAUAAAUUAUCUGUUUUGAAAGUUGAUGUUUUUAUAUACCUUAGAAUGCAGUCCCCAAACAAACCUUGCUGUUCAGGUACGCAAAUGAACAACCCAAAAAUGGGAAGUCUCUUUGACUGGAAAAAGAAGCUUUUUAUAGAUAAAAUAUAUAACAUAUAUAACACUUCUGUGGAAUUUUGCUGGGUAUUACAAGGCAAAAUCAGACAUAUACACCUUCUCAGAAAUUGCAGCAGCUUUUCCACACAGGAUUAGUAACUAUGAAAUAUAAAUGUAAAAAUAGGCAUGAUGAUCAUCACUGUUUCAGUUGUAGGAAAGCUACUGAUUUACUUACUAUUAUAUUAUUAUAUUAUUAUAUGAACUUUUGUAAGUUCAUAUAACUUUUGUAAGUUCAGAUAACUUUCAGUACCAUUCACUAUCUAGGCAGCCCUUGACAGAUGCUUAUCUAACCAUUCAAAGCAUAGGCCAAAGGAGAUUAUGCUAGACUACAGAUACUUUGUGCUAGUAUGCAGUAUUUCUCAUUCAAAUAUUUCAUAAAUCUUUACUCCACAUCACAUUUAAUGCAAAUUAAACAAUUAUAGUUUUGAUCAUAGAACCACCUACAGCCUUUAAUAAAAAUAUUUUCCAUUUUAGAAAAUUAUUUCUGUACUCCCAUAUGCAGUCUUUAUUUCUCUUAUAUCUUGAUUUGACAACAAACAUCAGUAUAUAACCCUUCAUAAAUCAUACUCUUUAUACUUGUAAUUCUAUCUCCUCUGCUCCCUACAGUACUGAAUUUUUUUUUCUCUCAAAAAACAUUUUUCAAAAGUGUUCUAUGCAAUCACCAAAAGACCCACUCCUAAGGAAAGCAAACAUUCACUCUGUUUGGCACCCUUUCCCUCCUGUGUGAGCUACACCACUUAGCAUGAUGUCAUCAACCAACUAGCUGAGGGUGAACUCAAUCCCACUGUGCAUAUCCCCAACAAAGAUGUUGAAUAGUGCCAGUCCUAGCACCAACCCUUGAGGAAUACCACUCUUCACUGACUCCCAGCUGAACAUAGAGCCAUUGACUGCAACUCUUUCAGUGUGAUCACCCAGACAAUUCCUUGUCCACCAAGUGGUCCAACUGUCAAAGCUAUGUCUCUCCAAUUUAUAGACAAGGAUUCCAUGUGUUCCUGUGUCAAAUGUGUUAACACAAGUACAGGUAAGCGAUGUCCACUGUUCUUCCUUUAUUUGCCAACACUGUAAUUCUGUUGUAGGCAGACACCAAAUUUGUCAAACAUUAUUUGCCCUUAAUGAAGAUGUGUUGGCUGUCACUGGUCAUGUCUUUUUUUUCCAUGUGCUUUAGCAUACUUUUCAGGAGGAUCUAUUCCAUGAUCUUGCCAGGCACAGAGAUGAGACAGACUGAGCUAUAGUUCCCCAAAGGCAUCUCUUCUUUCUUUCCUUUUUAAAAAUUGGGUUAUUUUUUCACUUUUCUAGCCAGUGGGAACUUCACCAGACUGCCAUGAAUUGUCAGAUAUGAUGGACAGUGGUUUAGCAAUUUUAUCCACCAGUUUCCUCAGGAUGCUCAGAUACAUCUCAUCUGUUCCCCUGGAUUUGUACACAUUCAGAUUCCUUAGACUGCCUUGCUCCUGUUAGUCUCCGACAGUGGACACUUCUUCAUUCUCCCAGUAUCUGCAUUUCGAUGCUGUGAGAUAAGUGGUGAAGACUAAGGCAAUAAAGUCACUGAGUACCUCAGCCUUCCGCAUAUCAUGGAUGACCAGGUCUCCUGUUUCCUUAUGAAGAGGGCCCACAUUUUCCCUAGUCUGCCUUUUAUUACUGACACACUUUUAGAAGCUUUUCUUGUUGCCCUUGAGAUCUCUUGCCAGAUUCAUUUCUAUCAGUGCCUUAGUUUUCCUAACCUGAUCACUGAGUGCUCAGACAGUGUCUCUCUAUUACUCCCAAGCUACCUAUCCUUGCUUCCAUAUUCUGGAGGUUUCCUUUUCAUGUUUGACUUUGUCCAGGAGCAUCUCCUUCAUCCCUACAGGCAUCCUGGUCCUUUUGCCAACUUCUGUUUGUUGGGAUGCAUCACUCCUGUGCUUGGAGGAACUGAUCCUUGAAUAUUAUCCAGCUUUCUUGGGUCCUUCUUCCCUCCAGGGCUUUAUUCCACAAUACUGUACCAAGCAGAUCCCUGAAGAGGCCAACAUCUAAUCUCCUGAAGCCCAGUUGUGAGCUUCCUCUGUGCUCUCCUUUCUGCUAUAAGGAUCUAAAACUCCACAGUGUCAUGCUCACCAUCCAAGUAAUCAUAAUAUUCUCUGUGUGGUGAAAAUAGCAUCUCUUGUGUUGGUGAUCUUACAUCGUUCCCAAGUGUGAAAGUGAACAUCACUGCUUUUAAACGCAAAAGAAUGAUAUGAAAGAAUGUCUAAGUGCUCUUUUCUGGCUAUAGUGAAUUUUAUCCUAGGGUCUUCAGUCCCUGUUGACAAAGGUCUAUUUCAGACUCAUGCUGGGAAUAAGUUUUAAUUAAAAUGCGCAGCAUGGACACCUCUGCUGUGCUUCCAUCUCAAACUGCCAUUAAUGUCCCGGAAUCUCUGCACACCUGUCCCUGAAAACCAUUUAGUGUAGGUGUCUUGUCCUCAGCACCUACUUCUGCCCCACUGGCAGUCUCCUAUCUUGCCACUUUAUUCUCUAGAGAGGAAACAGCCUGUGGCUCAGUGCCUGUUAGUGACUGCUGCUCACAGCAGCUGUCUCCCAGGGUUCUGCUCACAAGUCUCAGAUGGAAAAGAGAACCUCACAUCCUAUUCUUCUCACACCCUCCCAGGGUACCCUCUGCAAGAUGAAGCUUCAGGACAGGAGAGGCAGAGAAGGGGGAUGAGAGUCAGGAUUUCUUCUUCCCACUGUGACAGGCAUUCUAGAGUCCCAGCCUCUCCUCCAGAGCCCUGCAGCCAGAGCACAGCUACCAGAAGAGCUGCUACAGUCGCUCUUCCCUGUGGAUCAGUCAGGCGUGCGGUGGAGCUGGCAGUGUGGUUAAUGCCUCAUACUAACCUUCCAAUAGUCACAUCCUUCAGAGAACCCAUGUGCUGUCUUUUCUCAGCAGAUGGCCCAAUGCAAAUAAGGCCUUGCACAGGGACAAGUGCCUGUUCAUGUCAGUUCAGUAUCUCAUGUAUUAAUAAAUGACUGGUGAAUUUCAAAGCAUUCUUUGGUCCAGACCACCUGUCUUUGCCCUGGUCCAGUGAGUACAAAAGGCUGGGACACAAAUUUACUAAGAUUUCAACCCAUUUGAUUGAGUUUGGUGAUAACAUCUGAGCCAUGUAGUUUUACCAGGUUUAGAACAGCUCAGCCUUCAGUGAGAGCUGGUUGCUGGCUGGUAGCACACACGGCACCCAAAGGACAGUGCACCUCAGCGGCUCCGUUCUGCCACCUGCUGGCAACUUGUGCCCGGAGUUCAAAUAGAGCAGGGCUGCCAGUGUGAGCUCCCUGUGACUGACAGGAGCUGCUGGAGCCCGAGGCUGAGGAGAAAGCUCGUGGGGACUGUGUGCUCCAGAAC
rnacentral:lncRNA from 1 species